CGCGCGGUACGCGACUGGCGAUAGGUCCGCGGUCGCCCUGCCCGGGCGGCGCGACUGACGUGGGGCACCGCCGCAAAAGGCACAACACCACGGGGAAGCGUACCGCGCGCGGGCACAAGCCGUGGCGCGUUUUGUCGUUCGCCUGGGCAGCCCUU
rnacentral:ncRNA from 1 species